rnacentral:rRNA from 1 species
UACGUAGGGUGCGAGCGUUGUCCGGAAUUAUUGGGCGUAAAGGGCUCGUAGGCGGUUUGUCGCGUCGGGAGUGAAAUCCACUGGCUUAACUGGUGGCUUGCUUUCGAUACGGGCAGACUGGAGGUAUGCAGGGGAGAACGGAAUUCCUGGUGUAGCGGUGAAAUGCGCAGAUAUCAGGAGGAACACCGGUGGCGAAGGCGGCUCACUGGCCCGGAACUGACGCUGAGGCACGAAAGCGUGGGGAGCAAACAGG